rnacentral:tRNA from 1 species
GCUCCUGUGGCCCAAAGGCAGAGGCAAACGGCUUAAACCCGUUUCAAGUGUCGGUUCGAGUCCGACUGGGAGCA